CCGACCGUGGCGAGAGGAAGAGGCCUGGCUCCGGGGGACACAUACCUGCGCGGUGAAGGGCCAGGGUGCCGGUCGCAGUUACCCCGCGCGUUGUCCGCGCCCGCUCCUAGGGCCAGCGCGCAGCAAGCAAGGAGACUUUGCAGGUGUGAUUAAUUUAAGGAUCUUGCGAUGAGGAGAGUAUCCUGGAUUUUCCAUGGGUGGGAAAGACACAACCAGCAAUAGUCAGCUUUGAGGAUGGGAGUUGGCCAUCAGUCAAGAAAUGCAGGCGGCUACUAGAAGCUGAAAAAGGAAAUGAGAUGGAUUCUCUCCUAGAGCCUCCAUAAAGGAACUCCACUGUGCUGACAGCUCGAGACCCAUUUCCGACCUCCAGAAUUGCCUUUAUCCGGAGACCGGAUUUUGAAUUUUCCGCCGCAGGAGAUGUCCGGGAGCCGGCCUUGCUGAAGGUCCAGCGGUCCCCUCGACCGGCCAUGCCCGCACUACCUGCCCCGCUAACCCCGGCCCAAACCCCAGCGGCCCCGGCGCACUCACCUCUCUCGGGUCCCGGGCGCAGGAAGCCGGGCCGCGGCUGAGCGCGGACCGCGGCGGGCAGGAG